rnacentral:rRNA from 1 species
UACAGAGGGUGCGAGCGUUAAUCGGAAUUACUGGGCGUAAAGCGUGCGUAGACGGCUAUCUAAGUCGGGUGUGAAAGCCCCGGGCUCAACCCAGAGCCUGCAUCCAAAACUGGCGGGCUAGAGUUCUGGAGGGGGUAGCGGAAUUCCUGGUGUAGCGGUGAAAUGCGUAGAUAUCAGGAGGAACACCGGUGGCGAAGGCGGCUACCUGGACAGAAACUGACGCUGAGGCGCGAAAGCUAGGGGAGCAAACAGG